CACGUAGGGGGCAAGCGUUGUCCGGAUUUAUUGGGCGUAAAGAGCUCGUAGGCGGUUCGGUAAGUCGGGUGUGAAACCUCCAGGCUCAACCUGGAGACGCCACCCGAUACUGCUGUGACUCGAGUCCGGUAGGGGAGCGUGGAAUUCCCGGUGUAGCGGUGAAAUGCGCAGAUAUCGGGAGGAACACCAGCGGCGAAGGCGGCACUCUGGGCUGGAACUGACGCUGAGGAGCGAAAGCGUGGGUAGCAAACAGG
rnacentral:rRNA from 1 species